AGUCCAGAUGUUUCCUCCCUGUGAGGAGGAGUCGAUGCAAAACUCAGAUAUCUUCACCUCUACUUAUCUGAGUGCAGAGAGGAGGACAGAGAACAGUGGACACACAGUUUAACAUGAUGGACUAUAGGACAGGACUGCAGCUGUUAACUCUCUGCUGGGCAGGUGUUGAUGGUCAGACUCUGACAGAAUCUGAACCAGCGAUUAAAAGACCUGGAGAAUCCCACAGAUUGACCUGUACAACAUCUGGAUUGUCAUUCAGCAGCUACGGAAUGAGCUGGAUCAGACAGGCUCCUGGAAAAGGACUGGAGUGGAUCGCUUACAUCAGCAGUGGCAGCAGCGGCAUCUAUUACUCUCAGUCAGUCCAAGGCCGGUUUACCAUCUCCAGAGACAACAGCAGAGAGCAGCUGUAUCUGCAGAUGAACAGUCUGAAGACUGAAGAUUCUGCUGUUUAUUAUUGUGCUCGAGACCCACAGUGACUGGAGUUGGUUGAGCAGCUGUACAAAAUCCUACAGUACUCAU